rnacentral:rRNA from 1 species
UGAUCCUACGGGGCGCAGCAGUAGGGAAUAUUGCUCAAUGGGGGAAACCCUGAAGCAGCAACGCCGCGUGGAGGAUGAAGGUUUUCGGAUUGUAAACUCCUUUUGUUAGAGAAGAUAAUGACGGUAUCUAACGAAUAAGCACCGGCUAACUACGUGCCAGCAGCCGCGGUAAUACGUAGGGAGCAAGCGUUAUCCGGAAUUAUUGGGUGUAAAGGGUGCGUAGACGGGACAGCAAGUUAGUUGUGAAAGCCCUCGGCUUAACUGAGGAACUGCAACUAAAACUAUUGUUCUUGAGUGCAGGAGAG